rnacentral:rRNA from 1 species
GACGAACGCUGGCGGCGUGCCUAAUACAUGCCAGUUGAGCGCUGAAGGUUGGUACUUGUACCAACUGGAUGAGCAGCGAACGGGUGAGUAACGCGUGGGGAAUCUGCCUUUGAGCGGGGGACAACAUUUGGAAACGAAUGCUAAUACCGCAUAAAAACUUUAAACACAAGUUUUAAGUUUGAAAGAUGCAAUUGCAUCACUCAAAGAUGAUCCCGCGUUGUAUUAGCUAGUUGGUGAGGUAAAGGCUCACCAAGGCGAUGAUACAUAGCCGACCUGAGAGGGUGAUCGGCCACAUUGGGACUGAGACACGGCCCAAACUCCUACGGGAGGCAGCAGUAGGGAAUCUUCGGCAAUGGACGAAAGUCUGACCGAGCAACGCCGCGUGAGUGAAGAAGGUUUUCGGAUCGUAAAACUCUGUUGGUAGAGAAGAACGUUGGUGAGAGCGGAAAGCUCAUCAAGUGACGGUAACUACCCAGAAAGGGACGGCUAACUACGUG